GACGAACGCUGGCGGCGUGCUUAACACAUGCAAGUCGAACGGUGAAGGGGUCUGCUUUUGUGGGCCCUGGAUGAGUGGCGAACGGGUGAGUAACACGUGAGUAACCUGCCCCCUUCUUCUGGAUAACCGCAUGAAAGUGUGGCUAAUACGGGAUAUUCUGGGUCUGUCGCAUGAUGGGUCUGGGAAAGAUUGCGCCUUUGGGUGUUUUUGGUGGGGGAUGGGCUCGCGGCCUAUCAGCUUGUUGGUGGGGUGAUGGCCUACCAAGGCGGUGACGGGUAGCCGGCCUGAGAGGGUGGACGGUCACACUGGGACUGAGACACGGCCCAGACUCCUACGGGAGGCAGCAGUGGGGAAUAUUGCACAAUGGGCGCAAGCCUGAUGCAGCGACGCCGCGUGAGGGAUGGAGGCCUUCGGGUUGUAAACCUCUUUCGCCAGUGAAGCAGGCCUGCUCCGUGUGGGUGGGUUGACGGUAGCUGGAGAAGAAGCGCCGGCUAACUACGUG
rnacentral:rRNA from 1 species